UGUUGGUGCGAGUGUUGUGGGUUAUUGUUAGGCUGAUUUACCAUUGUCUCCCCCACGACCACGCUGGACUAGCUUCG
rnacentral:Y_RNA from 1 species